GAGGAAGGUUACUUCCGGGAAAGGCCCUGGGAUGUAGUGGCAACACCUGUCUCGGCGUCAGGAGGUCCGGCUUCCCCUCUGACGUAGCCUCCGACAAGUCCUUUGGGUUUUCUGGGCCUUUCGUGUCCUUCUCCGGAAAGUGAGGAGGCUGACUGCUCCCGAUUGCCGAGUCCGGCUGAGGUCUAGCCGAGCCUCCUCGUUGAGGAACGUGGGUCGACGUGGAGCGCAGGCCCCAGGCCGCCAAGAUGGCGGCAGCUGUUGCCGCGCAGGUGAAAUGCCCGGAUGGAGGAACAGCGGGAGCCCCCUGCAGGCUAAGAUGCAAGAUUUCACCCCCAGAGACCCUGGUGGAGCGCCUCAAAGAGGUUGCUGCUGGUAUUACAGCAGGGCGAGGGCCUCGUUCUUUUUGGGUUUGGAGAGUGUCUGCCCUUAGUUCUCAGCCUGUUUGAGAGGAAAUAAGAGACACCUCUGUACGCCUGCCUUUUCUGAACCGUAAGUGAGCCAACGCCACACAGUGGCCGAGAGGCCCCGGCUGGAUUGUCCUCUGAUGGAAAGUCAAGAGCUGCCUGUAUCUUUCCCAUGAAGGUCCUGCCAGGACGACGGUAUUUUUGGAGCCCCCAUGUUACAGAUGAGGAAACUGGCUUGGAGACGUUGAAAACAUGUUUGAAGUUACUCAGAUACCAAGUGGUAGAGACAAGAUCUGAACAUACCUCCGUCCGAUGGCCUGUCUGACAGCAUAGCCUGGGCUCUGGACUCUGCCUCCCUGUGGGGUGGGCUGUUCAUGCUCGUGUGUGCCAAGGUGGAGCUGGGGGUGGCAGGUGGACCUUUGGACACUCAGUGAUGCUGGGGAGUCAUUCGCCAUGUUGGCCCAUGCGAAAGAUGUUGCAGCUCGGUGCCGAUGGCCCUGACCUGAGCGAAGCCAGCCAGGAUGAUCAAAGAGCCCUUCAUAGUGGCUCAAAGAAACACGUCUAAAGGAUAGGACGAAACCACACCCCUUGUCAAGUGUUCAUCGUCCGCCUGGAUCCCGGAUCCCGGAUCCCGUAAUGCUCGCGAGAGCAGGAUCCCACUGUCCCGCCCACCUUUUCUUCUUGAACCGUCGUUAUCCCUUGAGUCCUCACGGCAGAGCUUUUCAUCCACCAAAAAAGUUCACUUUGAAUACAACGCGUUUGCCCCCCCAAAGAAACACUUAGAUUUGGACACCGAGUUAUAAAAUAGAGGACAAAUGCCGUCAGUGUUACUACCAGAAUCUAAGCACAUUAAGUGUCCUGCCUACUUAGAAUAUGGUCAAGAACUAAGCGAAACAAUUGUCUCCAGCUUUGCAUUCUAGAAAGAGCAGUAGGUCGCGUUCUUUCCAAUACUGAUUACUCUGGAUCCCCAAAGCACAUGAGACGAUGAGGUGUAUUUUUCAUAGGGUUCAGGUUUCUUGCAGUGCUGUUUCUGUUUUUCAACCCAGGAAGAGGAUUCUCCCACCUGCCUCAGAAGGCUUACACAUUCAGCUGCUUAAGGAAAGAGGGAUGAGCAAAAUGUUAGUAGGAGACAUCCAGUUGGUAGAUGCUCUGAUUCUGAGAAUCUAAUACUUUAGGUGCGAUGAAUACAGUGCAUUAGAAAGAUCACUGAGUUUUGUGCUAGAAUACCUGUGUUUACAUGUAGAUUUGGACAAUUAUUAGUUGAAUGAUCAUCAGUAAAAUUUUAAUUUUUUCCCAGUCUUUUUUAAACAGUUUUGUAUGUGUGUGUAUGUGUUUUUUUGGUUUUGUUUUGUCUUUUUCAGGGCCGCACCCAUGGCAUAAUGGAGAUUCCCAGACUAGGGUUUGAAUUGGAGCUGUAGCCACUGGCCUAUACUACAGUAAUAGCAACGCCAGAUCCGAGCUGCAUCUGCGACCUACACCACAGCUCACAGCAACACCGGGUCCUUGACCCACCAGAGCGAGGCCAGGGAUUGAACCUGCGUCCGCAUGGUUACUAGUCAGAUUGGUUUCUGCUGAGCCACAAUAGGAACUCCUAAACAGCUUUUUGAGGAAUAGUUUAUAUACCAUAAAAAGUCAGCCACUGUAAGUGCACAGCUCAGUGAUUUUUAGUAAUUUGUGAAGCCGUCACCCAAGGAAAUUUUAUAACAUUUUUGUUAAAUCUUUUAACCUCUCUCCAUUUUUCCCCCUUCAUCUUAACACGGCACUCACACGGUGCCUUGAUCACAAACGCGGCCGCAAUCCUAAUCCUUCCGUGCUUUGCGUCAUGACUUUGUUGCUGCUUCCACUGAGAGGUAGGACUGCUCUCCCCAGGCCUCGGGUCUGGGGCUGGCCUUGUGACCGACUCUGACAAAAAGUCAAAGUGUGGCUGCAGCGAAGGUGCACCCCGUUCUGAGCCUAAACCUCAGAUGGCUCUGCAUGUGCUUCUGCUUGCUCUUUUGGAGCCCUGCCGUCUUCACCACGGGUAGAAGGUUGGGCCAGCGGGCUGGGAAAUGAAAAAUCAUGCAGGGAGAGGCCCCACCUCCACUUAGGCCAUCUCAGAUCAGCCUCCCCCAGCUGCCCUCCCCCUAACCACCCCAGAGACUGGCCCAGUGCAGCCAGCCAGGACUAGCAGCUCUGGCAAGCCACCCUGGGGACCCAUAAGAUGUGCUAGAAGGAAGGUGAGUGAAGCUACUGAGCUUUAGGGUAUUGUGAUUUCUAAUAAGAAUAUGUAUUGGGUCUUAGACCCAUUCCUGGUGCAGAGCUCCUAAAACCACUGGAAUUUCCCAAGUAUAAAGAGCUACAAAGGUGUCUCUUGUUAUGUUAAUAAAGUGACUUUUGCAAAGCCAGAAGGAUGUGGGCUGAUUGACAGUGGAGCCAACCACAGAUUAGAGGGUUGGACCUUUCAGUCCCACCCCCUGACCUCUGGGGAGGAGGGUGGGCCAGAGGUUGAACCAGUUGCUAAUGGCCAAUGAUUCAAUCAAAAGGAUAGGGUUCAGAAGGCUUCCAGUUGGUGAACACUUGGCAUUGUGGGGGAGAGGCGCUCCUGGAGAGGGCAUGGGAGUCUGCCCCCCUUUCCCGUGCCUUGCCUUAGGCAUCUCUUCCCUCUGGCUAUGCCUGAAUUAUAGCCUUUUAUAAUAAACUAGUGAAAAAAAAAAAA